GGCCUGAUAGCACAACUGGAUAGUGCAUCUGCGAAACAUAAAUCUAAACUGGAGUUCAGUGGAAGAUCCCUGUUCGAUUCAGGGUCAGGCUA